GGCAUUUUUAGCCAGAAGCUAAGUUAGGACCAAGUUAAACUCGCUGGACAAGGGGACUCGCUUGCAGACGCCUCCUAAAUGCAUGCCUUGGGCUGAUUGUUAUCUCACCGUAAGGAGAGAGGAAGAAGCAGCAGAAGAGGCAGCAGUUGUAGGAGCCUUACGUGGACUGAUUUAUACCUGGAUCCACUUUGUCCUCUGAGCCUAGACAGGGCGGGGCAGGAGCGGUCAGCCUCGGCACUACGACAGCGGGGCCAGACAACUUUGUGUCUGGGGCUGCGGGCGGUCCUGUGCACCGCGGGGCCUUCAGCUGCAUCUCUGGUCUCUACCCACCACGCACAUCUUCCUCUGCACCCCGAGUCGUGACAACAAAGAAGAUCUCCAGUUCUGACAUGGAGAAUGGACCCGUGGACACGGUCGGGGGAGAGGGCGGGCUGAAGCGAGACAGCAGCUCUGAAAUAGAUAUGUGACUGUGUGUGGAACAGUGAGCUGAAGCGGGGCUGCUGUAUCACAGGGAGCUCAGCCCAGUGCUCUAUGAGGGCCUGGGUGGGGUGGGAGUGAGUGAGAGGGAGACCCAAGAGAGAGG
rnacentral:lncRNA from 1 species